rnacentral:rRNA from 1 species
AAUAGAUACCCCGGUAGUCCACGCCGUAAACGGUGGGCGCUAGGUGUGGGGGACUUUCCACGUCCUCUGUGCCGCAGCUAACGCAUUAAGCGCCCCGCCUGGGGAGUACGGCCGCAAGGCUAAAACUCAAAGGAAUUGACGGGGGCCCGCACAAGCGGCGGAGCAUGUGGCUUAAUUCGACGCAACGCGAAGAACCUUACCAAGGCUUGACAUGCAGGGAAAUCUCGUAGAGAUACGGGGUCCGCAAGGGCUCUGCACAGGUGGUGCAUGGUUGUCGUCAGCUCGUGUCGUGAGAUGUUGGGUUAAGUCCCGCAACGAGCGCAACCCUUGUCCUAUGUUGCCAGCGAGUAAUGUCGGGGACUCAUAGGAGACUGCCGGGGUCAACUCGGAGGAGGGUGGGGAUGACGUCAAAUCAUCAUGCCCCUUAUGUCUUGGGCUGCACACAUGCUACAAUGGUCGGUACAAAGGGCUGCGAGACCGCAAGGUGGAGCGAAUCCCAAAAAGCCGGCCUCAGUUCGGAUUGGGGU